rnacentral:misc_RNA from 1 species
AGGGCUUUUCUACAAGGGGAGGAAGAUCAGUAUCCAAAACUCUUAGCCAUUGGAAAUGAGAUUAUCAAGAAAUGUGGUGGUGUACCAUUAGCAGCAAAAACUUUGGGAAGUUUGAUGCGCUUCAAGAGAGAGGAAAGGGAAUGGUUGUUUGUGCAACACAGUGAACUUUGGGAUUUGGAUGUAUAUCACACUGGAAUUUUACCUGCCUUAAGGUUGAGUUACUUUCAUUUGCCAUCAUACCUCAAACGCUGCUUUACCUUCUGCUCAAUUUUCCCUAAAAGAUAUGAAAUCAAGAAAGAGAAGUUAAUCAGAAUGUGGAUGGCAGAAGGCUUAAUCCAAUCUGAUGGAGCUAGAAAACGACCAGAGGACAUUGGAGAGGACUACUUCCAAGAUUUAUUGUGGAUGUCCUUCUUUCAAGAUGCUGGGGAUACUGAUGGUAGCAGCACAAGUGCAUACAAAAUGCUUGAUGUUAUUCAUGAUCUUGCAAAAUUUGUUGCUGGAAAAGAGUCCGUUAUAGUAGACCAAGGCCUUCCAUCAGAUAAUCUUGCACAAAGUCGCCAUGCAUCUGUAAUUUUUGAUUUUAGGUCUCCAAAGAUUCCUGAAGCUUUAUUUGAAGCAAAUCAUUUGCGGACUCUCAUAUUUUUUCCAGGAGGCAACACCACAGACGGUUAUUUUAAGGUGUCCAAUAGUUUUCCUUUUUUGAGGGUUUUAGAUGUCAAUACCUCUGCCUUUCGGUAUUACCAAUUUGGUCGCUUGCUGUGUUUGAGAUAUCUUGAUCUGUCUUACACAUCUAUCAUCACCUUGGAUUUUAAGAUUGAAGAACUUCCAUUUUUGCAAACUCUUAUUCUAUAUGGUUGCUAUAAUCUUAAGGAAUUGCCUACCAUUGCAAAGAUGCUGAGCUUAAGACAUCUCAAUGUAACCAGAUGUGAAUCACUGCUCACCAUGUCAAGUAUUUUUGAUGAAAUUUAUCGACGUUUUGGAUGCUCGUCCAGCAGCAGAACCAAAUGUGAAGAGCUCUUCUACUUGAGCUCUAUACCUGGAUCGUCUAAUCAGCUUCAGACACUGCCAACAAUUAUGGUUGGUGGUUUU